GAGUGACCCUGCGCCGAAAAUGUACCGGGGCUAAACAUAUUACCGAAGCUGUGGAUUGUCCUUUGGACAAUGGUAGGAGAGCGUUCUAAGGGCGUCGAAGCAUGAUCGCAAGGACAUGUGGAGCGCUUAGAAGUGAGAAUGCCGGUGUGAGUAGCGAAAGACGGGUGAGAAUCCCGUCCACCGAUUGACUAAGGUUUCCAGAGGAAGGCUCGUCCGCUCUGGGUUAGUCGGGUCCUAAGCUGAGGCCGACAGGCGUAGGCGAUGGAUAACAGGUUGAUAUUCCUGUACCACCUAGUAUCGUUUUAAUCGAUGGGGGGACGCAGUAGGAUAGGCGAAGCGUGCUGUUGGAGUGCACGUCCAAGCAGUAAGGCUGAGUGUUAGGCAAAUCCGGCACUCAUAAGGCUGAGCUGUGAUGGGGAGAGGAAAUUGUUUCCUCGAGUCGUUGAUUUCACACUGCCGAGAAAAGCCUCUAGAUAGAUAACAGGUGCCCGUACCGCAAACCGACACAGGUAGUCAAGAUGAGAAUUCUAAGGUGAGCGAGCGAACUCUCGUUAAGGAACUCGGCAAAAUGACCCCGUAACUUCGGGAGAAGGGGUGCUCUUUAGGGUUCACGCCCAGAAGAGCCGCAGUGAAUAGGCCCAAGCGACUGUUUAUCAAAAACACAGGUCUCUGCUAAACCGUAAGGUGAUGUAUAGGGGCUGACGCCUGCCCGGUGCUGGAAGGUUAAGAGGAGUGGUUAGCUUCUGCGAAGCUACGAAUCGAAGCCCCAGUAAACGGCGGCCGUAACUAUAACGGUCCUAAGGUAGCGAAAUUCCUUGUCGGGUAAGUUCCGACCCGCACGAAAGGCGUAACGAUUUGGGCACUGUCUCAACGAGAGACUCGGUGAAAUCAUAGUACCUGUGAAGAUGCAGGUUACCCGCGACAGGACGGAAAGACCCCGUGGAGCUUUACUGUAGCCUGAUAUUGAAAUUCGGCACAGCUUGUACAGGAUAGGUAGGAGCCUUUGAAACGUGAGCGCUAGCUUACGUGGAGGCGUUGGUGGGAUACUACCCUAGCUGUGUUGGCUUUCUAACCCGCACCACUUAUCGUGGUGGGAGACAGUGUCAGGCGGGCAGUUUGACUGGGGCGGUCGCCUCCUAAAAGGUAACGGAGGCGCUCAAAGGUUCCCUCAGAAUGGUUGGAAAUCAUUCAUAGAGUGUAAAGGCAUAAGGGAGCUUGACUGCGAGACCUACAAGUCGAGCAGGGUCGAAAGACGGACUUAGUGAUCCGGUGGUUCCGCAUGGAAGGGCCAUCGCUCAACGGAUAAAAGCUACCCCGGGGAUAACAGGCUUAUCUCCCCCAAGAGUCCACAUCGACGGGGAGGUUUGGCACCUCGAUGUCGGCUCGUCGCAUCCUGGGGCUGUAGUCGGUCCCAAGGGUUGGGCUGUUCGCCCAUUAAAGCGG
rnacentral:rRNA from 1 species